UGGUUUGGAACUGAACCCACACUCUCUCUGAAGUGGGCCUGCAGAUAUGCAGAAAGAAGCCGAGAUUAAAGACCAUGUCGCUGGAUAGCUGAUUACGAGAGGUCACCAGUAUGCUCACUCCUCAGUUGACCGGAAUAUCCCAGUCCUUAAGCACUCAGGCCAAGAGGGCGCUGUCACAGUGGCCGGUGUCCACGCCACCCCCGUGACAGAUGUCCGCGCAGCAGUUCUUCCGACACCCCUGAGGAAUCCCUCCUGCUCCCUAACAGAAGCAUGUAGCUCCAGCUCCACGCCCUCUGCUCCCGGGCUCUCCUUCCAUCUCAGCUCCCAUCAAAGGUGGCGUAUGCCACAUCCUCCUGGUGAGCAUCCACACCGGAUGGACAACCCUCUUAGGUGGGAUGACAGCAAGAUGGCUCAAGCCCUGCUCCCUGCAAUGUAGUGAUUCCAGCUGUCUCAUGGGAAGUUCAAGCUCAUGGCCAGGCCCCGUGGUGGGCAUGCAGCUCUGAGUGGCGGAGCAUCUCUCUGUACCUUCCACAUCUCUCCAAUCCUCUUCAGUGCAGAGAUGGAAGAGCUGGUCUGCUGUGAAUAUCCAACCAGGGGAAGGAGGUGCCAUCUCCUUUACAUGCUUCUUUAAUCUCUAUACUCAAUUCUCUUGGCAGUCUCCUUUACCAUGUAACAUCUUAUUACAGAUAUGGAGCCUUUGUAAAUUGCAUUUAAGUUGUGGCUGGAACCAUGGUGAUGUUGAUGAAUAAUGAAAGUGCCGCUUUUGCUAGCAUGCCUUGAAGAAAGAAAACUUGUCUUAAAGUUCAUGAUGUCUGAACUUGGUAAAUCUUCUUGAAAGUGACUGCCAUUGGGGUCUUGCUUAGUUGUGACGGGAUUUAACUACAAUAAAAGUGGUUUGGACUUAGAGCCAGCCUCGGGUUUGUAUUUGCCCCUCACCCCCAACACACAGUUAUGUGACUGUGGAUAUUUAAUUAACCUCUGUAUCCACUAAUUUCUUCAUCUGUAAAAAUCCUGGGAUGUGGAGAAGAUUAAGUGAAGCAACAGGAGAGAGCGUUUUCCACAAUUCUAGGCUUACUGCAGAGUCUUAACAAUGUCUAUAUAAAAAUAAAAACUCCACCUCUCUUGG
ensembl:lncRNA